CUCAUUUGUUAAAUUCAAAGUCCAAACAUAAAGUUGAAAUUGAUGUUGAAAAUAAUGAUGGUAAAACAGCUCUUCAUCUAGCUGUGGCUGGAGGAAACUGCCAGAUUGUUGCAAAGCUGUUGGCCAAAAAUGCAGAUGUAAACCAUGGCGAUGCGCUCAAUGACAAUACUGCAUUACACAUUGCAGUCGAAAAUAAUCAUCCUGAUGUUGUGAAAAUUUUAUUGGAUGUUCCAAAUAUUUCAGUUGAUGAAUACAAUCGGCAAGGACAUACGCCAUUGCAUUUAGCUUGUGUUAUAAAUAGUGGAAAAGGAUCUGAAAUCAUUGUUCAUAAGCUUCUUGAGGCUCAG